ACGGAAGGCAGCAGUGGGGAAUAUUGGACAAUGGGGGAAACCCUGAUCCAGCGACGCCGCGUGAGUGAAGAAGUAUUUCGGUAUGUAAAGCUCUAUCAGCAGGGAAGAUAAUGACGGUACCUGACUAAGAAGCCCCGGCUAACUACGUGCCAGCAGCCGCGGUAAUACGUAGGGGGCAAGCGUUAUCCGGAUUUACUGGGUGUAAGGGGAGCGUAGACGGCAUGGCAAGUCUGAUGUGAAAACCCGGGGCUCAACCCCGGGACUGCAUUGGAAACUGUCAGGCUAGAGUGCAGGAGAGGUAAGUGGAAUUCCUAGUGUAGCGGUGAAAUGCGUAGAUAUUAGGAGGAACACCAGUGGCGAAGGCGGCUUACUGGACUGUAACUGACGUUGAGGCUCGAAAGCGUGGGGAGCAAACAGGAUUAGAUACCCUGGUA
rnacentral:rRNA from 1 species